rnacentral:rRNA from 1 species
UGGGGAAUUUUGGACAAUGGGCGAAAGCCUGAUCCAGCAAUGCCGCGUGUGUGAAGAAGGCCUUCGGGUUGUAAAGCACUUUUGUCCGGAAAGAAAUCCUUGGCUCUAAUACAGUCGGGGGAUGACGGUACCGGAAGAAUAAGCACCGGCUAACUACGUGCCAGCAGCCGCGGUAAUACGUAGGGUGCAAGCGUUAAUCGGAAUUACUGGGCGUAAAGCGUGCGCAGGCGGUUUGCUAAGGCCGAUGUGAAAUCCCCGGGCUCAACCUGGGAACUGCAUUGGUGACUGGCAGGCUAGAGUAUGGCAGAGGGGGGUAGAAUUCCACGUGUAGCAGUGAAAUGCGUAGAGAUGUGGAGGAAUACCGAUGGCGAAGGCAGCCCCCUGGGCCAAUACUGACGCUCAUGCACGAAAGCGUGGGGAGCAAACAGGAUUAGAUACCCUGGUAGUCCACGCCCUAAACGAUGUCAACUAGUUGUUGGGGAUUCAUUUCCUUAGUAACGUAGCUAACGCGUGAAGUUGACCGCCUGGGGAGUACGGUCGCAAGAUUAAAACUCAAUGAAUUGACGGGGUCAUAGCUGUUUCCU